CGGUAACGACGGGUAACGGGGAAUCAGGGUUCGAUUCCGGAGAGGGAGCCCGAGAAACGGCUACCACUUCCAAGGAAGGCAGCAGGCGCGCAACUUACCCUAAUCUCGAUUCGAGGAGGUAGUGACAAGAAAUACCGAUGCGGGACCCUACGGGUGCCGCGUUCGGAAUGAGUACGAUUCGAACCACCUAACGAGGAACGAUCGGAGGGCAAGUCUGGUGCCAGCAGCCGCGGUAAUUCCAGCUCCAAUAGCGUACGUUAAAGUUGCUGCAGUUAAAAAGCUCGUAGUUGAACGUUCGGGUUCCGCGGGACGGGGCCGCCCCGCGAGGGACGGCGCCGCCCCGGGGCUCGUGAUAUCUCAUCUCGCCGCCCGUCGCGAGGCGGACGGAGGGAUGGAUGAGGUUACCUGGAAAAAAUCGGGGCGAUCUAGGCGGGCGAACCUCGCCAACGAACGAUCGGACAUGGGC
rnacentral:rRNA from 1 species